CUGCAGUCGAGCGACAGAUAAGGAGCUUGCUCCUUUGACGUUAGCGGCGGACGGGUGAGUAACACGUGGGUAACCUACCCUAUAAGUCUGGGAUAACUCCGGGAAACCGGGGCUAAUGCCGGAUAACAUUUAGAACCGCAUGGUUCUAAAGUGAAAGAUGGUUUCGCUAUCACUUAUAGAUGGACCCGCGCCGCAUUAGCUAGUUGGUAAGGUAACGGCUUACCAAGGCGACGAUACGUAGCCGACCUGAGAGGGUGAUCGGCCACACUGGAACUGACACACGGCCCAGACUCCUACGGGAGGCAGCAGUAGGGAAUCUUCCGCAAUGGGGGAAAGCCUGACGGAGCAACGCCGCGUGAGUGAUGAAGGUUUUCGGAUCGUAAAACUCUGUUAUUAGGGAAGAACAAAUGUGCAAGUAACUGUGCUCGUCUUGACGGUACCUAAUUAGAAAGCCACGGCUAACUACGUGCCAGCAACCGCGGUAAUACGUAGGUGGCAAGCGUUAUCCGGAAUUAUUGGGCGUAAAGCGCGCGCAGGCGGUCCCUUAGGUCUGAUGUGAAAGCCCACGGCUCAUCCNUGGAGGGUCAUUGGAAACUGGGAGACUUGUGUGCAM
rnacentral:rRNA from 1 species